UUAGGUGUGCAAGUUCUGUAUGUGUGCGUGUGUGCAUACAUACACACACACAUGCACACUAC
rnacentral:miRNA from 1 species